GACUCUGUAGUGAAAUUCAUAGUGAGUUGCAAGCUCAUUGAUGCACAUUGAGUGUGCCGGGGUCU
rnacentral:tRNA from 1 species